rnacentral:lncRNA from 1 species
ACUCCCUUUCUGAAGUGGCAAUCUGGGUGACUGGAAAGUACGAACACAUCUCUAUUCUGGUACAGCUUGCGGAGAGCUGCAAGUUACAGAACGGAACUUAGGAAUUGCACUCGGGCUGGUACAUCAGAGGCGUGCCCACUGUGGAGUGUGUGAAGAUCUGAACCGCCGAGGUGCUUAGCUCUGAUUUUGUAAAAUCAAAUAAAUUAAAAUAAAAUACUGCACUGAAAAGCAUCUUCCUUGAUGGUCUUGGGAAGGAAUCCCUCCUGGAGAUAGAAUACUUUGGUUUCAAAGAAAAGCUAAUACACACCAACUAAACUCUCCUAAUCAGGCAUUGCUGUGACACUCCAGAAGGUUGGAACUAAGUAAUUAUGAUCCCGUAAGGCAAGACUUCCAGCUGCUGAAGUAGGUCAGACAUCCGACUCAACUCCACUAUCCCCUGCUCAGAAUCUAAGGUGACUUGCUGUCUUGUGGGCCCCAUGUUCUUGAUACUCACUGAUCCGCCAUGGGGAGCCAUAGAGAAGGCCUUCACCUGUAGAGCCAAGUCUAAUCUCCUGUACAAGGCCUCUCUGUGCUCCCAGCCAUGACCACCAGUCCAAGCCAGCUGCUGUAGACAAGCCAAGGACACCUUCCCAUGGGAUUCAGCUGGAGCUCCCCUCUUUUCCCCCUAGGCCUGGGCUAGAUCCAGCCCGUGGGCCUCCCACUCAGUUCUCAGAUCUUCCACGGCUCCCAGGACUCUCGGCUCUCAGUUCCUGGGUGCCCAAGAGCCUGAGAACCAGACUGCCCUGGUCCCUGCAGGCCCGGGGACCCACCAACCCUGAGUCAGUUCUGGCUCACCCCCACCCCCUGACCUCAGACUGUGCUUUCCCACCCCUGGAGCAGUGUCCUGUGGCUGACAUCCAUCCCCAGGCAUGGGGUAAGCACAGUCAAUACUCCCUCAUCCUGCCUCCCCAAAUGGCCAGAGCCCUGUGGCAGAGAAGACCCAGAACCCCAUUAACCCCAAAACAGAGCAUAAAGGAUAUCUUUCUUUCCUUCUCAUUUUACUAAGUCAUGGGAAACUCUAGAAUUUAGUCCAGCCUGGAAAUUUUGAAAGGAGAAUCCAUGAAUAUUCAGAAGAUUAAUGAUAAAUAUUCCAUAUGUUACAAUAUAAUUAGUAUUUUUACCCUAGAUGAUAUCUCAUCCCAUCUAUGUUAAAUAAUUGGCUAAAUAUUGCAACCAUAGCUAAUAUUUACAUUGACCUUAAGUGAAAUACUAUAAGAUUGCUAAGAUUAUCUUGGUACAUAUUUUUCUGAACUGAAGAUUAUAAAAAGAGACUUCUAUAUAGUUCAUUUAUCUUAUAUGUCUUUGGUUGAAUUUUGAAAAUAUACAUAAUGCCUUUUUGGUGAUGUUCUACUUUUAAAAACACAACAAACAUUUGUUUCAUUAUAAUAAUAAAGGUUAAUGAAAACUCUUAUUCCCACACUUUCCUAUUUUUGAAUUUUAUUUAUCCAUAUUUAGGCAUGCUGGUGAGAUUUAAGUUCUUGUUUAUUCAAUUAAAAGUGCAUUCUUUCAAUUCAAAAUUAGUCAAUUAGGUAAUAUGGCAGUUUAUUAUUGAAAUGAUUUAACAUCAGGAAAUUAAUCUAAUUAUGUGAUUACUUUAUUGAGUAUAUUUUUUGAGUUGCAUAUAAACAAAUAGAUAUUGUACUUUCCCCCCAAAGGAUGACACUGUGGAUAGUAUGAAAAUAAAAUCAAUUUAUGUGAAAGUAAAUCUAAAUUCCAUCUAUAAAAUAAAAAAGAAUUUUUUACU